AUAACAACAUAUGUCCUGAGAAUAACAUGUGAAAAAAGGAUUUUACAAACGAAAUUUAAAUUUAUGAGCAUACCUGAUCCAUACAAGCAUCAGCAAUCUUGAGACUUUUUUGCAGACAUUCGAGUACCCGUUUUGGAUCCUGAAAAGGCUAUAGGAAUGUUAGUAAAUAUAGAUGAGAAAUCACAAUUUGCUUACCCUUGAAUCUUCUCCUGAUGCGACCUGCCACCAUAGAUGACUAGCC